rnacentral:rRNA from 1 species
UACGUAGGGGGCGAGCGUUGUCCGGAAUUAUUGGGCGUAAAGAGCUUGUAGGCGGUUUGUCGCGUCUGCUGUGAAAAUCCGGGGCUCAACCCCGGACUUGCAGUGGGUACGGGCAGACUAGAGUGUGGUAGGGGAGACUGGAAUUCCUGGUGUAGCGGUGAAAUGCGCAGAUAUCAGGAGGAACACCGAUGGCGAAGGCAGAUCUCUGGGCCAUUACUGACGCUGAGGAGCGAAAGCAUGGGGAGCGAACAGG